CUGGUGAAACAGGCCAGUGGUUUUAGUGCUAAGGACCGAAGAUGUGAUACUGCUCUGCUUUAUUCUGUACUGGAAACUUCCAGGGAGAUAUGGCUUGGAAAGCCAUGUGGUACUGGGCAUCAA
rnacentral:miRNA from 1 species